UCUUACGAGAGGUUUGCUAUCGGUCGUCCCAUGAUUGACCAGUCACCAUACAAGCCGGAUAUGUACGGUGACACGGAGGACGACAGACCCACUAUGGGGACUCUCUGGUACUCUCGACAGAAAAUAUGGGCACAUGUACAGACCCGGCGGUCUUAUCCUGAGUUUGUUGCGGCAUUUGAUCGAUUGACCCCAGAAGAUAUUGUGUGGGAGCCAUACAGACCUUCGGCUAUAGCCACACGUGCACCACUUGGGAUAUCUUCGGUUUGCACACAGGACCAGGGCCUAUGAAUGACUACUGCAGCUUUGGUGUACGACGUUGCAGUUGAGGCCCACUGCCUGGACAGAGUCUUGAGGCAGUUUGGUCAACGCCAGUCUUUCCCUGUGCGUUCAGCGUUGGAUCGUGUUCAGCGCCACGAUCAUAGUUUGUCAAGGGCUGGACAUCCUUUCUCCACCAUGUGGGUCACUAGGUUACAACCGUGGGUGGCUGCGUGAGAUAAUGCAGACGAGCAGUUGGCUAAGGACACCGGUCCACACACUGAGGCUUCG